GUGUCACAUGUGCAAAUCGGUUCGCACAAAGACAAGGUCAUAUCUACGAACGAAGACCGAACGAAGCAUGAUCGAAAAGUCAGCAAUAAAACAACUAUUAUACAGCUACGAUCCAGGAAUAACAUCCCUCAACAGGACACUUUGAAAAGACUCCAACAACAACUAAAUUAAGGUUUGUUCAUCUUAUAUUCCGGCUGGACCUGAGCUAGUCAGUUGGCCUGCGCCUCGG